rnacentral:rRNA from 1 species
AGUGAACGCUGGCGGUAGGCCUAACACAUGCAAGUCGAACGGCAGCACAGUAAGAGCUUGCUCUUACGGGUGGCGAGUGGCGGACGGGUGAGGAAUACAUCGGAAUCUACUUUUUCGUGGGGGAUAACGUAGGGAAACUUACGCUAAUACCGCAUACGACCUACGGGUGAAAGCAGGGGAUCUUCGGACCUUGCGCGAUUGAAUGAGCCGAUGUCGGAUUAGUUAGUUGGCGGGGUAAAGGCCCACCAAGGCGACGAUCCGUAGCUGGUCUGAGAGGAUGAUCAGCCACACUGGAACUGAGACACGGUCAAGACUCCUAAGGGAGGCAGCAGUGGGGAAUAUUGGACAAUGGGCGCAAGCCUGAUCCAGCCAGACCGCGUGGGUGAAGAAGGCCUUCGGGUUGUAAAGACCUUUUGUUGGGAAAGAAAAGCAGCAGGUUAAUACCCCGCUGUUCUGACGGUACCCAAAGAAUAAGCACCGGCUAACUUCGUG